rnacentral:tRNA from 1 species
GAGAAAGGCUUGCUAGCAAUGAAGGCUGCUACCCCCCAUUUCCCUCGGUUGGAUUCCGAUGUUUUCUCG